rnacentral:rRNA from 1 species
GCCUGUUUAUCAAAAACAUCGCCUCUUGCUUAAAUAUAAGAGGUCCCGCCUGCCCCGUGAUUUAAUUUAACGGCCGCGGUAUCUUGACCGUGCAAAGGUAGCACAAUCAAUUGUUCUCUAAAUAAGGACUAGAAUGAACGGCAUAACGAGGGUUUAACUGUCUCCCCAUUUUAAUCAAUGAAAUUGAUCUUCCCGUGAAGAAGCGGGAAUACAAAUAUAAGACGAAAAGACCCCAUGGAGCUUUAAACUUAUCACCACUUACCAAACCCUAAAACAUACCCCUGGUAAAAAUGACUGACAGUUUUCGGUUGGGGCGACCCUGGAGAAAAACAAAUCCUCCAAGCUGAACGAUUAAAAUAAUCUAAUGCAAGAACAACAACUCAAACAAUCAAAAUAUUGACAAAAUGACCCAGAAUACAUCUGAUCAACGAACCAAGUUACCCUGGGGAUAACAGCGCAAUCCAUUUCAAGAGCCCCUAUCGACAAAUGGGUUUACGACCUCGAUGUUGGAUCGGGAUAUCCUAGCAGCGCAGCAGUUGCUCAGGGUUCGUUUGUUCAACGAUUAAUAACCCCACRUGAUCUGAGUUCAAACCGGA